CAUCCCAGCUCCCUCCUUCCCCGGCCCCCCAGCAGCCUACGGCUUCCAGGGAGGGGACAGGGGUGCAGCCUACCCCGCUCAGCCUGGCUUCCAGGGAGGUGACAGGGGAGCAGCCUACCCCCCUCAGCCUGGCUUCCAGGGAGGGGACAGGGGUGCAGCCUACCCCGCUCAGCCUGGCUUCCAGAGAGGUCCCCAACCCAGCAUGUACCCACCACCUCCCCAGUACAGCAUGGGCAUGGCACAACCUACAAACGCCCCGGCGUAACCCAGGUGGUGGUGAUGCAGCAGCUGCCUAGAGACGUGCCCGGCCAGAUGACGUGUCCCCAGUGUCAGGUCCAGGUUCUGACAGAGACCACACACACCCCUGGACUGCUCACCUGGGUCUUCUGUGGAGCCCUCGGCUGCUUCCUGUGCUGGCCAUGCUGUUUGAUUCCGUUCUGUGUUGACUCCUGGAAGAACGUAGAACACCGCUGCCCCAACUGCAAGAUGGUGAUCCACAUCCACAAAAGCAUGUGAACAGGCACAAAAACACCUGCCACAAAGUGAUCCAUAUCUACAAACCCUAUAUAUGAACAGACCUAGCCAAAGCACAUAUGAAUUUAAAUCUAUUAGCGUUCACUACUAGCACAUCCAAGAGGCUUUCUAUACCAGAGACUCUGUAAUUCAUAUCACACACACACAUGCACAGACACACACACACACACAUACUACAUGAACCAAUUCAGUGCAUAAUCCACAUUAGAAAGACAAUAGGCUACUGUCUCUCUGAAAUGACUACUGCAAGGGCAGCUUCAUCUACUGUGAAUGUGAAUGUGUGACAGGAUAUCCUUUCACCAUGUUUUUGGUCAGUGUGUUUCCCAGGUGACCCUAAUUAGCAGGUUGACGGUUAUUGUCAUGAAUCUUGCCCUGGAGGCAGAACUGAGCAAUUUCCGAUAGAUGGGCCGGCUGCAAAAGUCAAAAUUGACUAUAUCAUAAAAAUUCAUGAAAACAAAAAUGAGCUUUUUGGUCUUCAUUUAAGGUUAGGGUUAGACAUUAUGGUUAGCAUAU